rnacentral:rRNA from 1 species
UACGUAGGUGGCAAGCGUUGUCCGGAAUUAUUGGGCGUAAAGCGCGCGCAGGCGGUCCUUUAAGUCUGAUGUGAAAGCCCACGGCUCAACCGUGGAGGGUCAUUGGAAACUGGGGGACUUGAGUGCAGAAGAGGAAAGCGGAAUUCCACGUGUAGCGGUGCAAUGCGUAGAGAUGUGGAGGAACACCAGUGGCGAAGGCGGCUUUCUGGUCUGUAACUGACGCUGGGGCGCGAAAGCGUGGGGAGCAAACAGG